UCUCAGUGCCUGUGGGCAGGGCAGCAGUCCCUGGCUGCCAUACCUUGGGGAGGUAGUUCUGCUGUUUCAGCUUUCUUGGCAGCAUUCUGAAGUUGGUGGUGUUUGCAGACCUUCUCCAAGCUGAGCUCCUGAUCUUCCCUGCCAACCAAAUGUGCCUAUGGAUCUCACCAAGACCAGGGAGGAUGCAGCGGGAGCAGGACUGCAGCACGUGAUUGUGUGUGCAAGGGAAGGGCCAGCAGAGCACAGCUUUGCUUCUCAUUUUAUCCCUACACAAAACACCUCCUGGGACCAUCGUUUCUGGUGACUCCAUCCUGCGGAGCAACAGCAAAACAAGCACCUACGUGCCUGCCAGGAGGUGCAAGCCAGCCAGGACUCGGAAGAAAAACGGGAUUGGUGAGGAUGGAAGAAGGGAGCAGGUGGGGAUGCCAGGGGUGAGCUUCAUCUGCCACGGGAGGGAGAAGUUGGGACCAUGCCCAAAGGAAAGAUACUCCAGAGCUGCCCUGUAAUCCCUGAAUCCUACUGAAUUCACACCCUGGUGAUAUAUCAAUGUCAAAGGGAUGCAACUGGUAAUUCUGCCUGGCUGGUAAACUGCCUCGUGUCACCCUGUUUCCAAUGGCUGCUGUCAAGUUUUCUUCAUUUUAAGGAAAUUUUCUGGGCCCCUCUGUCUGCCCAUUCCCGGUAGAGCUGAUGUCGCUGAUGUGAAUAAAAUCAAUACU